AAUAUGUUGUCUGAAAUUAGCAUGAACGAUAACACAAAAACCCACUAACAUAACGUCCCACUUCAAUCAAAGUGUUUUCAUUGUGAAUCGAACUUGAGACCUUUUAGAGCCCCCCUCCACCCCACCACAAAAAGAAAAACCUUAGUCUUCAAUGUGGUAAGCCCCUUUGUCCAAGACUCUUGCUACUUAGUUACCUAGGUGAGAUGUGUAUAAGUGUAUUUAAUAUUUAUACUACUGCUUUUGAAGAUAUACCUUGCAAAAGCACUUGCAAAGUGCCUGCAUUCUCCUCUCAUUGGGCAAGCAUUACAGUUAGGUUUUAUUUUUGUGCAGAAAACCUGGAAUGAACCAAAGGUAGAAUUUAUAAAUAAGAUGUGUAUUCAUGAAAAAAUAACUUGAAUAUCUUGUUUCUUAUAUUACUUAAAUAGAAUGUCAUGAAAACUCAUACCUUCCCAAACGUAAUCAUCUGAUAAUGUAGUUCGUACCUGUAUUUCAAAUUUAAUUUAUCAUGUAAAAUCUGUCUAUUUCAAAUAUAAUGAAACUAGAUAUUUCACUCUUUGAGAUUCGGGGUUUAUGAGAGUUUUGAGCUUACAAUGUUGGCUGAUCAAGCUUGCACAACCUUGUCCAUAAAUAUUUUUGUAUAGAGUCCAACACUGGAUACCUGUUUUGUAAUCCUGUCAGGUUUCUUCUGCGGCAAAUUAGUUACUUAUGAAUAGUUGGAGGUGUUUCACUUACUUUUCCAGGAGAUGCAGUUGAAGUGAUUCAGGUAGGGGUUGAAUUGGAACCCAUCCAAGCCUUACUGCUAUCCUUGCAACAUUAAUGUCAACCUGUGUAACAAAAGUUUGUUGUAACAUUUGCAAGAGGAUCAAUUGUGGCAAUAGCUAUUUGUUGUGAAAAGUGAAUCUUACCGGGAAAGCAAUAUGAUGGAGUGUCAGUAGUCGCACACAUUCUGUGCUUUUCAAGCCUAAUCCUUCAAUACUCAGAAGAUAGUCUCUGCAUUUGUAUAAUACUCAAAAAUAAAUUAGAAGAAUGUUCUUUGCUGGAAGGUGCACCGGUGUGAACUGCGGACCAGUCCGGAGACAGAAAAUAUGUUUUUUCUAUUUCAAACACGUUGAAGUCCUCUGUUGCCUUUUCUGGCAUAUACUGAUCAACAGAAUUUUGAAAGUUGGAUUUGUCCCACCAUUUCUCAAAUGCUUCGGUUUGAUCUUCAUGUAAAACAGUAGUUGAGGAAAUGCAUUUCCUAUUUGUUUCUGUUUUGGAGUUGGGUUGUAACCAAGACAGAUCUUCAUCAUGCUCUUGAAAACAAGAGUUGGGAUGAUCUGAAUCUGCUGGCUCGUCAGGUUCUCCUAAUAUUACACUUGGUUCACCUUGGAACCCUGUCUGGAUUUGGCUCUCCUUGCGAAUUGGGAAUUUCGCAGCAAGCGACAUAUAUGCGGAGCUGCAGAGGUUAGAAUAAAAUAAUGUUACUUUUUUUAAGCACAAGUUGUAUUUAUUUUUAUAUUUGAUAAAUAAGGUAAAUAAUUAUUUUUCAUAUAUUUUUAAUCAUAAGUAGUUUUUUUUUUUUUUAAAUAACACGUUUACCUUGAUAAAUGAUCGGCCACAUUUUGUGUAAGAAACACUCCUACGACCGAGUCCACUACAGAACCUUUCCAUUUGGUGAAACGUCUAUCUCCUGUGAAGGAAGGAAAUUACAGUUAAUCAAGGUAAAAUUGUGGACAACAAAUACUCAUUCAUCCUUAGGUAGUGUGAAGAAUGAAUGAAUGAACAAAUUACCCUGGAUAAGAUGCAUGCGUGCAUUGAAACACUCUACCCGUCCUUGGAAUACUUUCCUUUCUGCUUCCCACCAUUUUUCUCUCUUUUCAUCUUCAGCCUCAUUGCCUUCACUUACUUUUCUACCCAUUAGAAAUUUCAAGGCUCUAUCUGUCUCUGGGUCAAGGUCUACUUUAGGCUUGCCAAUCUUCUUCUCCUUUUGUAGGCCUAUUACAUCCUCAGAAAUAAUAUGGUUACCACGAUUUCUCUUGCUUCUCACAAUGGCAUAGAGUGAGGCUUUAUUUCCUGGUUCUCCAUUAUCUUCGAGGCUUUGCUCCUUUCCCAGGUCAAAAUUCAACGACUUCUUUGCUUUUGGAGGAUUAAGUUCAUUCUUCCGCUCAUACUUUCUCUUUCCACUCGGCUGCUCCUUGGAAGUGGAACCACCUUCCGUUAGCGUCAGGUUGUUCUUGCGCACAUAUUUUCUCUUUACAAGGGGGGGACUUCUGUUCUGUAAUGCCUCGGCAGCUUUCGGUGUAAUUUUGGGUUUGCCUUCAAUGAUCACCUUUGGCCUGUGCCUGCGUCUUCUGGGUAUGGUUUGAGUAGGUGUCUUGCUCAGGUCCAUAACUCGAUCCCCUUCCUUUUGAACAGACAAGCUGGCAUGCCUAUCUUUCUCCUGACUUGUAACCCGUGUCCAAUUGAACAUGUUAAAUUGGUAACCUGUGUCCAAUUGUCUUGUAUGAUCUGGAGUUGCUACGGGAAAUUGGAACGAGCUUGUCCCACUAGAGCUUGCGCCGACUUCAUUUCGUGGUGGGGAAUUCAGAUUGUAGAUUGGAUGAUGAUGAACCGUGGCUGAUGAUGAUCCAUCUGCAUUCAUGUUGACUUGUAUUAGAUAAAGAACAGGUUGUGUAACUGAUAUUUCUUUUUAUGGGAUCUGUUUCAUUUCCCCCCUUUUCUGUUUGUUUUAUUGUAUUCCCAAAUCUGCCUAGAUUAGACCAACUAAUUUGAUCUUAUCGGGCACAUGUUGCUCCUUUCAAUUUCAAAAAGGCAACUAAAUGUAUGCAAAUCCAGACAAUUAUCAAAACAGUAUACAUGUUAUGAGAUUGGAUUCAAA